ACACGUAGGGGGCGAGCGUUGUCCGGAAUUACUGGGCGUAAAGGGCGUGUAGGCGGCCAUGCAAGUCAAGUGUGAAAAGCCCCGGCUUAACCGGGGCACUGCACAUGAAACUGCGUGGCUUGAGUGCAGGAGAGGGGAGUGGAAUUCCUAGUGUAGCGGUGAAAUGCGUAGAUAUUAGGAGGAACACCAGUGGCGAAGGCGACUUCCUGGACUGUAACUGACGCUGAGGCGCGAAAGCGUGGGUAGCAAACAGGAUUAGAUACCCUGGUAGUCCACGCUGUAAACGAUGGGUACUAGGUGUGGGUAGUUCACUCUAUCCGUGCCGCAGCAAACGCAAUAAGUACCCCGCCUGGGGAGUACGGCCGCAAGGUUGAA
rnacentral:rRNA from 1 species